rnacentral:lncRNA from 1 species
UGGGAAGAGACGCUAGCACUUUCCAAUCAGCAUUUUCAGGGGUUGAGCACUUUCUAAUCGACGACACAACAACAGAUGGUAGUCCAGUAACCAUUGAACAACACGUGACGGUAGAAGCGGCGUGGGAACUAUUGUCGCUCGAGUGAGAGCUUCUCUCUAGGGUUCUCGUUCCCAAUCUCUCAAUACCAAUUUCAAAUCUGAAAAUGAAACCCACUCUUCAUAUCCCUCCC